GGCCUCGUCGCCAAGUGGUAAGGCAACGGUCUGCAACACCGUCAUCACCAGUUCAAAUCUGGUCGAGGCCUCCA
rnacentral:tRNA from 1 species